CUUUUGUAGCAGCCCAGACAGGAGGAGGCUCCCGCUCCCCUUAAUCACAAAUCAAGCUGAGUGACAUUUGAAAUGGUGGUUCCAAUGCCAACCCACCAGAAACAAGACUCUCACGCCCAGCCUGCCAGCUCCAGUAUUCCAUUGGGCAGCUGUGAAGGGGAGGGUCUCCUUAGUGUGUGCAGCAUCUUGACAGCCUCUCCCGAAACUUCCUAGCAGGGCCAGGCAUUUUUCA
rnacentral:lncRNA from 1 species